rnacentral:tRNA from 1 species
CAGGUGUAGUUUAGUGGUAGAACACUAGCCUUCCAAGCUGGAUGUGUGGGUUCGAUUCCCAUCACCUG